GAGCAUACGUGUAGUACCAGUAGAGGAAACAGGACAGAGGAGCGAGAGAGAACCCCAUUUGCUGCUUCAUGAUUCAAAGGCGAACGCAAGAGACGGACAGACAGACUGAGCUGGAUUGGUCAGGGCCCUCUGAUGUUAGAGCUGAGUGCCUUUGAAGAAAUGAACUGUAACCCAGAAUGCCCAUGUGGCUGGGAAGAAGGAUUCUGGGAAAACUGGACCCAUCUCAACAGUCCGUGAGAGCCUGCGUCCGCAAGGUUUGUUCCCGGGGUGGGAGAGCCCUGGCCACCUCCCAUCAAGAGCUUUGUGGCACCAGUGUCACAAAACCCAAACCCAGCAGAGGGCUUGCAAAGGGUCCCGCCUGAGGAGCUCUACCUCUCUUCAUGGCAGAAACACAGUUGCAUUUAUACCAAGCUCACUAUACCAGAUAUGUGGCCUGUCUGCCAUCCACAUGCCCCUCUGUGUAAGUGAAAGUGUAAGUCAGCUCCCUCAGUUCUGCGUAAUGACUAAAAUGAACAGAAAUGUGUCGUACCUGCCAAUUCCGUCGCCCUCRGGUGUAGACAGGAUCACCGGAGCAGCCGCAGCACCGAGCCCCUCUGUCCCCCCGGGAAGCGGUGCUCAGUGCAGCUGA
rnacentral:lncRNA from 1 species